CCUACGGGAGGCAGCAGUGGGGAAUAUUGCACAAUGGGGGAAACCCUGAUGCAGCGACGCCGCGUGAGUGAAGAAGUAUCUCGGUACGUAAAGCUCUAUCAGUAGGGAAGAAAAUGACGGCACCUGACUAAGAAGCCCCGGCCAACCACGUGACAGCAGCCCCGGUAAUACGUAGGGGGCAGGCGUUAUCCGGAUGAACUGGGUGUAAAGGGAGGGUAGACGGCAGCACAAGUCUGGAGUGAAAUCCCGGGGCUUAACCCUGGAAGUGCUUUGGAAACUGUGCGGCUGGAGUGCAGGAGGGGUAAGCGGAAUGCCUGGUGUAGCGGUGAAAUGCGUAGAUAUUAGGAGGAACACCGGUGGCGAAGGCGGCUUACUGGACUGUAACUGACGUUGAGGCUCGAAAGCGUGGGGAGCGAACAGGAUUAGAUACCCCUGUAGUC
rnacentral:rRNA from 1 species